ACUCCUACGGGAGGCAGCAGUGAGGAAUAUUGCACAAUGGGGGCAACCCUGAUGCAGCAACGCCGCGUGUACGACGAAUCAGUUUAUCUGUGUAAAGUACUGUUAACCGGGACGAAAAGACGUAUGAUCUACGUUUAUAUGACGGUACCGGUAGAGGAAGCUCCGGCUAACUCCGUGCCAGCAGCCGCGGUAAUACGGGGGGAGCUAGCGUUGUCCGGAAUCAUUGGGCGUAAAGGGCAUGUAGGUGGGACUUUAAGUCAAUUGUUAAAUCGUACGGCUUAACCGUAUACUGCAGUUGAUACUGGAGUUCUUGAGUGUGAGAGGGGACAGAGGAAUACCUGGUGUAGCGGUGGAAUGCGUAGAUAUUAGGUAGAACACUUGAGGCGAAGGCGUCUGUCUGGCUCAUCACUGACACUGAAAUGCGAAAGUAUGGGGAGCAAACAGGAUUAGAUACCCUGGUAGUC
rnacentral:rRNA from 1 species